UACGUAGGGUGCUAGCGUUGUUCGGAAUUACUGGGCGUAAAGCGCACGUAGGCGGCUUUGUAAGUUAGAGGUGAAAGCCCAGGGCUUAACCCUGGAAUUGCCUUUAAGACUGCAUCGCUAGAAUCGUGGAGAGGUGAGUGGAAUUCCGAGUGUAGAGGUGAAAUUCGUAGAUAUUCGGAAGAACACCAGUGGCGAAGGCGACUCACUGGACACGUAUUGACGCUGAGGUGCGAAAGCGUGGGGAGCAAACAGGG
rnacentral:rRNA from 1 species